CCUACGAGCGGCAGCAGUGAGGAAUAUUGGUCAAUGGGCGCGAGCCUGAACCAGCCAAGUCGCGUGAGGGAAGACGGCCCUACGGGUUGUACCCCUCUUUUGCCGGGGAGCAACGGGCGCCACGUGUGGCGCCACUGAGAGUACCCGGAGCAAAAGCAUCGGCUAACUCCGUGCCAGCAGCCGCGGUAAUACGGAGGAUCCGCGCGUUAUCCUGAUUUAUUGGGUUUAACGGGAGCGUAGAUGGGUUGUUAAGUCAGUUGUGAAAGUUUGCGGCUCAACCGUAAAAUUGCAAUUGAUACUGGCAGUCUUGAGUACAGUUGAGGUAGGCGGAAUUCGUGGUGUAGCGGUGAAAUGCUUAGAUAUCACGAAGAACUCCGAUUGCGAAGGCAGCUUACUAAACUGUCACUGACAUUGAUGCUCGAAAGUGUGGGUAUCAAACAGGAUUAGAUACCCUUGUAGUC
rnacentral:rRNA from 1 species